rnacentral:rRNA from 1 species
UCGAGGAUCUUUCGCAAUGGGCGCAAGCCUGACGAAGCGACGCCGCGUGAACGAAGAAGGCCUUCGGGUUGUAAAGUUCUUUCGCCCGGGAACAAGAAAAUGGGAUGAAUAGUUCCAUGAUUUGAGUGUACUGGGUAAAGAAGCACCGGCUAACUCCGUGCCAGCAGCUGCGGUAAUACGGAGAGUGCAAGCGUUAAUCGGAUUUAUUGGGCGUAAAGGGGGCGUAGGCGUCUUAGAAAGUCAGAUGUGAAAUUCCGGGGCUUAACCUCGGAGCGGCAUGUGAAACUUCUAGGAUGGAGGAUAGGAAGGGAAAACGGAAUUCCACGUGUAGCGGUGAAAUGCGUAGAUAUGUGGAGGAACACCGGAGGCGAAGGCGGUUUUCUGUCCUAUUCCUGACGCU